CAGUAACCCAGGAUUAUGAGCUCGUGCAUGUCUUUUUAGGCAUUAAGCAUAUGCCUGGCCGCCACACCGCAGCCAACGUAUUUGCUGAGUAUGAGCAAAUAAUUGGGGAAUGGCAAAUUCCUUUUCAAUCCAUCAGUCAAGAUAAGACAGACGGCGGGUCCAAUGUGGUUUUUAACACGUUUUAUAUACCUAUUCCUGGCUGGAAAGAGUUUGAAGAUGUGAGCUGUGCUAGAGAUUAUACAGAAAACUUUGAUGACGGAUCAAUCACGUCCGCCCCAGCAGUUAGUAAUGGAAAUGGUGAUGAAGAGGACAUGGUGGAGAUAGAUAUCUCAUCAACAGAAAAAGAGGAGGAUGCUUUCUGGACUAUGCUAGCAGGAUUGGAAAUCGACGUUGUCGAGAUUACAAUCGAAGACGACGAUGAUAGGGACGAGUUCCACGAAGUAGAAACAGACCUUUAAAGUGUCAUACCAUCUUCCAACAAUGCUUUACAGCCAGCAUACCAAGACAGAUACGUUUUGAACAUGAAAUAACGCUCUUCAUGUGUUGCCCAUUUGCUCCAACUCGUGAUUAAGACCGGACUUUCUGCUUUGCAGGUUGAAGCGGCUUCUUCCGCAAAGAAAGCUGGGAAGAUCGUGUCCUACAUUAGGAAAAGCGUGUUGGACACGGAAAAAGUUUUUAAAGCCGUUGGUUUCCGAUUGCCGAACGAAAACGCUACUAGGUGGAAUAGUCAAUACUUAAUGCUUCGAAAGUUGUUGGAAGCGUUUUAAAAGGCCUCUUAUCUCCAAGAGACCCUGAAUGCAACAAAAGAGCUGGGAAAGUUGUCGGCGUAUGAGCUUUUGGUUUUGAAAGAACUAGUUGCCCUUCUCAAGCCUUUCAAACAGGCUUCAGAUGACUUUCAGGCUGAUUUCGAAUCCAUUGGGAAUGUCAUUCCGUCUUUUCUUGGAUUGCGCACAACUCUAUGUCUUAAAAUCAAAGACAGACAUGGAGUCGAGGUUCCUAAUCCGGCCAGCACAUUAAGCAAAACCAUCAAACAUUUGAAGAAUGUCACCACUACACUUGAAAAAUCACUUGCUUCUCGAUUUUCUUACGUUUUGUACGAUUUCUACUAUGUUUUGGGCGCACUUUUGGAUCCCCCAUUCAAAAAAGGAUGGAUAAAGCGUUCAGGGCACUCUGACUCAGACAUUCUUUCAGCAGUAAAAGUCCAGUUAGAAGUGCGCUAUCGCCACUAUCGUAAGCGGUGACUGUAAGUACUUUGCUACCGGCCAAAUUGCUAGCGACGAUGAAGUCGUUGAAGCGCCAGCGGAGGAAUCUGAGGGUCCGAGACGUGCUCAAGGGCAAACACGUUAAAGAAAAAACAGCCAGUCACUGCUUUACUCCUCAGUACUGGAAGAGCCAUGUUCUCAGUCCAUUGGUCCUGGAAAAAUUAUCGAGUUUGAAGCUUACUUAACCGAACCAAAUGUUCCAUUGGAGCAGCCCUCGAAUCCCCAUGAUCCCGAAAGUAAACUGAUGAAAACUCGACCUCUACAGUUCUGGAAAACCAAUAGUCACCGCUUUUCGUUUCUAUCAGUCGUUGCGAGGGAUUCACUUUCUGUACCUGCUUCAUCAGGAGCUAUCGAGCGCUCAUACAGUACUGGUACAGAUAUUCUAUGUGCAAAACGAAACAGAACAAAACCAGAUCUCUUUAGCAAUCUAAUGUUUAUCAAGUGCAAUGCGAAAGUUAACGCUACUGCAUUAUCAUAAAAGUUCAUGAAAAAAAGUUUGAAUUUCACUGUAUUGUCAUGUUAAAUCAUCAUAAAUGUGAAUUUUCAAACGGCGGAUAAUAAUACAGAUAUUCAGCAAAACGAA